AGACUAUUUCCAAGAUGGCAGCCUCCAGUGAACAAUAUUGUCGUGAGAAAGAAACAAAGAAUCUCCGUGUCGUAGAAUUUUUCAGCGGCGUCGGCGGUUUACAUUGUGCUGUCAAAGAUUGUGGAGUUCCAUGUUCUGUGGUAGCUGCGGUGGAAAUAAACACGGUUGCAAAUGCAGUCUAUCAACACAAUUUUCCCGAAGUUAACUUGAUGCAGAGGAAUUUGGAGGGAUUCAGUGCAGAUGACUUCUCUUCUUUUGAUGCAGAUAUGUUUGUGAUGAGCCCUCCGUGUCAACCAUUCACUAGGGUUGGCUUGAAAGGAGAUAAAAAUGAUGCAAGGACAAAUGCCUUUUUCAAUAUCAUGAGGAAUCUACCACAAAUAGCCAAGAGACCGACUUACUUGCUGGUUGAAAAUGUGAAAGGAUUUGAGACCUCAGAAACAAGAAAUUUCCUUGUGGAUACUCUGCAGAGGUGCAAUUACAACUUUCAGGAAUUCCUGCUCUCCCCAAUGGACAUCGGCAUACCCAAUCAGCGUGUACGAUACUUCAUGCUUGCCAAACAGCGCCCUCUAAAGUUUGACGAGAAAUAUGGCUCAGAUCUUGUGAAGCACAGAGUAAACAUGCCUUUGAUUACAAAUGAAGGAAAUGAACCUAGCAGACUGGUUUGUGACAACUCUAUGGUGUCCCCACUGGGGCAGGCAAAUGUGGACAUAGCUUCAUGUGAAAUGCAGGAUGGAUCAUUCAUGGUAUCUUCGAAUGAGCAAGUUGUUGGAACAAAAUCAGAAGAGGAGCUUAGAAAUCUCCUCCAUUCGACUGAGGAAUCAACUUUAAAUGAAAAGGAAAAGACACUUGGUAAAGAGGUGACUUAUUGUGGUGAUAUGGUGUCUUCAAGUGAACAAAGCGAACAGGAAAAUUGUCAGGAUGAUGGGGGCCGUAAAAUAGGCGGCUACCUUCAAACUGAUUUGGACGAAGAAUCAAUGGAGGAAUAUCUGAUACCGGACAAGAUUUUACUGAAGUAUGCACACAUGAUGGACAUUGUUACAGCCGAUGAGACAAAGACUCGAUGCUUCACCAAAGCUUGUUUGAGAGAUGUAUGUAUGUGACCUACCACCCCGAAACCACCAAUAAGUCACCAGGUAUGCGUAUUAUGUGGAGGGUACAGGAUCCACACUCAGAACUGAUCUUUCAACUGAUAUGUCUGCAGCUUUCUCUCCGGGAUCAUGUAGUGAGGAGGAGCGAUUAGUGAGGUUGAGGGCGCUUCAUCUCCGUUACUUCACUCCACGAGAGGUCGCCAACUUACAUCACUUCCCGCAAGAUUUUGGUUUCCCAGAGUGUGCUACCAAAAAGCAGAGAUACCGUUUGCUAGGCAACAGUCUGAAUGUGACACUUGUGGCAAGGCUAAUAAAUUACAUGGUUUCAUCAUGAUGACAAUUUUUCUUUGGUGGCUCAGCCGAAGUUGAAUAGUAAUAAUGAUAAUUGUAAUAAUAAUUAUGUAAGAUAUUUGUAUAGUGCACAUAUCCACCUUAACUGUUGGGUGCUGCUAUGUUACCCCUGCUUAGCUUCUGGUGCUCGCAGCUUUUUUUGAGGAAUAACUUCCUGCGGGUACCCAUUUACCUCACCUAGGUUGAGUGCAGGAUAUUUUGGAUCAUUUUCUUGAGCACUAAAGGAAAUAAUGCCAUGGCUGGGAUUCGAACCCAGGACCCUCUGUUUUAAAGCCUGGAGACUUGUCCACUGGACCACAACGCUCCACAGUCUCUUCGGACUACAGAAGUCUAUCGUAAUAUGUCCAUUAUAUAUAGCACAGGUAAGGCCACCGCACACCUUACAACUGUUUGCGAUCCGAUUUUGGAACAAAUCGCAUUUUGCUCAUUUUCUGAAAAUGUGAAUGGAACAUAUCAUUUUAUUUGAGGUUAAAAUUAAUUGAAAGAAUACUUAAUAUAACCAUUUUGAAAGAUUGCAAGCCUUUAUUUUGGAGUAAAGGCCAAAUUAGUUUCAAAUCGUAGCCAAUUGUACGACUGCUAUGACGUCAUUGCGACUAGAUAUUAAAUUUGAUUUUAUUCUAAGAAGGAUGAUAGCAUAGUCACAGAUUUGAACAUAGGUAUUCGUGCGAUGAUUUAGAACAUUACAUAGUAAGAUAUUCCAAGUCUAAAUAUUAGCAUCAAAUUCUACUACAUUUUAUUCUGAAAUCGGGUCGCAGACCAAUCGUAAGGUGUGCGAUCGCCUUUACAGCAUGCAUAUUAUCCUAACUGCCUGUUACUUGGUAUCAUACUGUUACCCCGGCUUUCACUGAGCCACCAUGUAGGUGGUAAAGCAUUUCAAGGAAUAAAUCCUACUGUGUGCCCUUUCACCUCACCUGGGUCAAGUGCAGCACAAUGUGGAUCAAUUUCUUGCUGAAGGGAAAUAUGCCAUGGCUGUGAUUAAAAUCAAUUUGAUGAAGUAAAGACCCAUCUUUUCAAGCAACUUUAUGAUAAAUGUAUGACAUAUUGUGGGAGCCGGCGCCGUUGGAUAUUUCUUAGGGGUAAAUGGCACGUUACAAAAGUUGUUCAUGUUCAUCAGUAGGAAAGAAGAGGUUCACCCAGGGUUCACCAUUAAAAAUGUAGAAUUUCCAUGAAACUAUAGCAAGAGUGAAAAGUUGUGCUUGUCAAUAAUUAGAUUAAAAAAUCAGGACCUUUAAAAUUUGAGAUGCUUUUUAUCUUAGCUGAAAGUGAUUGAUGAGCACUGUCAGAUUAGUUUUGAAGAGAACAUGCUAUGCAGGGUUGAUUUUCAUUUGGUCCAAUGCCAGUUUGUCCAAUUACCCACUCGUCCACUAUCAUUUGGUCUACCAUCAGUUCAUCCAAUAUCCAUAUGGUCUAAUUGCCAUUUAGUGCACUCGCCAUUUUGUCUAAUAACCAGUUGGUUCAUUAGCCAUUUAGCCCACAUUUGGUCUAAUUAGACUUAGUGUUAAUUGGGCAAAACGAAUGAAAAGAAAACAAAUAUUAGACCAACUGGUUAUGAGACAAAUGGUCAUAGACGAACUGGUGAUACGACGAAGUGAUAAUUGGAGCAAAUGGUUAUUGGACCAAAACGGUUGUUAGACGAAAUGUUGAUGGAUGGAAUGGCAUUAAAGACUAAAUGAAGCUAGAUCAUGUGGUGAGUGGACGAGUUGGCAAUUUACCCUCUGCAGAGUAUUUCAUCAGCAUAUAUCAUUGGAUAAAUGCCAGAUCUGACAACUUACCCUUGAUGUUGAUUGGCUGAGAAGCACAGGAGUUUGACAGGGGCAAAACCAGGGGAGCGUUUCAUCAACAUUUAUGUCCGACAAGUUGUCAGAUCUGACAACUUUCCUUGAUUCUGAUUGGCUGGAAAGCACAGUUACUAUGGUAACUGUCGGAUAAAACAAAACUUGUCAUAUAAAACGUCCGACAAGUCCUUUCAUGAAACGCUCCCCAGGAACCCCCUUUUUUGUACAAAAAAAAAGUCUUCAUUCCCAAUCAAUAGUGAUUUAUGUCACCAAAAAAAAUGUGUGUAUGCGCAGCGUUUUCCACUACCUGCAUGGGUCCACCACUGGUCGGGUAAAAAAUUCUUGAUAAGAUAAAAGCCUUCAUUAAAGGACAAGUCCACCUCAACAAAAAGUUGAUUCGAAUAAAAAAGAGCAAAAUCCAACAAGAAUAACACUGAAAAUUUCAUCAAAAUUGGAUGUAAAAUAAGAAAGUUAUGAUGUUUUGAAAUUUCGCUUAAUUUCACAGAAGCUGACAGAACAGUUAUUAUAUGCACAUCCUGUUUGGUGUGCAAAUGAGGCGACUGAUGACAUCCUCCACUCACUAUUUCUUUUGUAAUUUAUUAUAUGAAAUGUGAAAUAUUCUUAUUUUCUCCUCUCUUUCAUGUGAAGGGAGUUUUAUUCCUCCCUGAAUAUGUGGAAUUACCAUAAUUUUAACAUUUUGUGGUUCAGUCAAGUUGGUCCUUAUUGUCAAAGUUUUAAAAAUUGAAAUAUUGUAUAAUUCUAACAAUAAAAAACAAAAGAAAUAGUGAGUGAGGGACAUCAACUAUCUCAUUUGUUGUCACUGGCUGGUACAUAUAACUAUUUUGUGAAAAAUAAGUGAAAAUUUGAAAUGUCAUAACUUAUUUUACAUCCGAUUUGGAUGAAAUUUUCAGUGUUAGGUUUGUUGGAUUUUACUCUUCUAGGGUGUUCUUGACCUUUAACCAUUCCCAUGAUAUCUGACAAUGUUACUGACAUAUUAGUUUUAUUUCUGAAAUAUUAAUUUGUAAGUAUCCUGCCCAGUAUCGUGUUUUGACAAUACAGUAAGUGUGUCUUGGAACAAGGAAAAAAUAUGGCAUUAUUAUAAUGUUAAAUUGUAAUAAGGUAUUUUGCAAAUAAACGGAUGAAAAGAA